CCUACGGGAGGCAGCAGUGAGGAAUAUUGGACAAUGGAUGGAAAUCUGAUCCAGCCAUGCCGCGUGCAGGAAGACGGCCCUGUGGGUUGUAAACUGCUUUUAUACGGGAGCAAUAAGGUCUACGUGUAGACUGAUGAGAGUACCGUAUGAAUAAGCAUCGGCUAACUCCGUGCCAGCAGCCGCGGUAAU
rnacentral:rRNA from 1 species